rnacentral:lncRNA from 1 species
AUAACAUUAUAAUUGUUUGCACAUAAUGUAUUAGGUGUUUGAACAUAAUGCAAAAGGCAUGUGCCCAUUACGUAAUGAAUGCUAACAGAGAGUAUCAAUUGUUCGGCAAAACGCAUAUGAACCAUACCAUGAGGUAUUAUGUUUUUCACUAGAGAUAAAUAUGUAUAAACACAACAUAAAGCCAUUAGAACUAUAAUAUAUGAGGUUUCAUAGAACAAAAGAUGUAUCAAAACAAACGUUUAGAAUAUUCAGCAUAACA